GGCAGUGUGUGAUAGUUUUCAAUGUGUGACUGUCACACAAGGGGGUGUGUGUGUGUGUGUGUGUGUGUGUGUGUGUGAAAGAGAGAGAGAGGAGGGAGAGAGAAAGAAGAAAUAAUUCCAAGUAUGGGCAAACACAGCUCAUUGGAUUCUCAGAACUUGUUAGAGCUGGAGUCUACAAUGUAGAGGAAGAAAUGGUCUAGUAUGAAGUGAAGCUGGAGAAAGGCAGUGGAAAAUCUCCACCGAAGUGCAAAUCGCAGCCACCAAAACCAGACCUACUGAAUCAAAAUAUAGAGGUAGGUCCUGGGGAUCUACAUUUGUAACAAGUUUCCUAUGUGCUUCUUACACUCACUCAAGUUGAGAUGCCAUCCACGGCAGAUGGUGGGGAAACUCUGAGGGCGUUUCCUCUUCCUUCCGUUCUUAAUCAUUAUUCUUACCAUUGAUUAGCCCCACCCAGUGGACUGAGGGGCUUAGAUCAUGGCUCAGUCUCACUUAGCCAUGACAGUGAUGUGGGCAAGAGGGGAGGACAUACCACCAUCUAUGAAAGGUAAUAGCCACCGCUAUUGACACAUCUGGCCAUUUGCUCUUUAGGCCUUAAUGAUUGACAUGAUCUUGGAAAACAGGUAUGUAGCAAAACUCUCCUAGAAACCUGAAAGAUGUGGCAAGAAGAAAACAUGGAGCCUUUUCUGAACAAGCCUAUGAGAGAAGAAGAAUCACUUCAAUUUAUUAAGUGUGGAUUCUGGGGCUAAAGAACUUACCUACAACCACACAGCCAGCAAAUUACUGACCCAGCAUAUUCUGAACCCAGGUCUUUAUUCUUUCCAAAACUUCACAGCACCUUCCUCAGAGCAUCUCUACAUGAAAAUCUGUAUAAAGAAGUGAUCUGUGGUGUCGCCAUUUGUAUCAAAAUGGUAUCACAAACUUAUUUAAAAGGCUUCAUCUAAAAGUCUUCAGAGUUUUGGCCAGGGAAGAGCUCUAAUAUCACACAUUAAUAACCUUACCUUUGUAACAUGUAAAUUGUUUUUUGUUUUAACAUCUCAGUUUCAUUAAACUGAGACCAGAAAGAGCCAUCAUCUUUUUACCAAUUUGUAAUCAUUUUAUUGUGUUAUGGACCUGCAGCAAUGCUGACUAUAUUUACAAAUCUGUGAGUGAAAUUUUAAAACCAUUUUCCUCUUCUAAUCUCUCCCAUCCUGCCUUCUUAGAAGCACACAAAGCAUCUCAACCACUCCCAAAUUCCCUGUUGGAAUACCCUUAAUGAUUCUGAAAUAUUUUGUUAUUCCCCAAACACCUCCCUAAGACGAAUCACUGGACUCCAGGCUCUUCACAUUGCCAAGUUGAAUCGAGUUCAAAUGUUCUAUCUAACCAAACUCUAACUUACAACAAAGCCACAUAUAGUAGAUGAUGUGUAAGAUAUUCCGAAAAUACCAAGGCAACAGGGAAAAAAAAUCUGUGUCAUCAAGAGGUCCUCCCAGAACUUCUUGUAAUCUAGAAUAAUCAAUUUUGUCAAGCUCCUGUAACCUAAUCAUAGCACACAUGUGUAUAUAUGUAUAACUAAUAACAUAAAUCAACUUUCAUUUUAAUAAUGUAUAGCUUAAGUUUUCUCACAUCCAAAACAAUUAGUGUUGCCAAAUUUAAGAUUAUUUCUCUACUUUAGACAUCAGAACAUGCACAAGGACUUGAGGAAUAAACAAAUCCAAGAAAACAAUCUUAGCCUGAUAAAGUAAAAAUUUUGAAUAAAUUCAUAAAUCAUUUAAAACACAAUCUUGUUAAAUUAGCUAUUUCAUAGUAUGUUAUGAAUGUAAAAGCAGAACACAGAAAAGGCAUUUUCCAAAAAGAUAUAGGACUUAGUAGGAUUUCCUUUUAUGUUAAAAAAUGGCCCAUGGAAGAGCAGUUUUCAGAAUGACCAGGGCAUAGUCAGACACCUCUUUCAUUGGAAGCUUCACCAAAGGGCACACUUCUCCUGAACUCAGAGUUUUGAGUCCAGACCCAGCUCUUGCCAAAGUUCACUGGGAGUUUUGCUAAGCUUCAAGAUGAUCCCACCUGAAAGCUCUUUGGAGACAAAGUUAAGGUAAGUUCCCCUUAAUAUUUCCAGAACCAUAUGAACAUAUAAGCAAACUGUGUAAGGCUACGUAGAAAUGAUUGAAUUUUAAUUUUUUCAAACUACAAACACUUUAAAGACAAGGAUUCUCCUCUAUACUUAUUUUGUAGUACUAGCACCAAGAAUAAUGCAUAGUACAUAGUUGAUACUUAAUAAAUUCAAUACUUGUAUGAAUAAACUGAAAAAUUCUCACAAGACCAUUGGGGGCAGUUCUACUAAUCUCCCUGUAGCCCUGCAAUUUUCAAAGGCUUCAUCACGCAAUUCCCCUCACAACUUUUUGGUUCACUAAUCAUAAAGCCACACGGACAGAAAGGAAAGAAAUCCCAGAGACCAAAAAGCCGUUUGUUUUGUCCAUCUGGUCACAUAUUUAUAGCGUUUCAGAGCUAAAAGUGGUAUUAGAAGUUGCCUUUGAACAGUCCCAUUUUACAUGUGAGAAAACUAAAGUCUAAGCUCUUGGGUGAAGUGACUGAGCCUUGAUCACCCAGCUGACAAGCACCAAAGCACUUCCCGAUAUUAUUUCCUCCAUAUUCCUCUGCAGUUAGCCCCCACCAACUCCACCAGAAAGUAUUUGUAGACUUAGGUAUUUCCUUUAAAAGCCUCAGAUGACUUUACUUGGGGUGUGGUGGAAGGGACCACAAUUUUAUUAUAAUUUACCAAUAGCCAGGAGUUUUGUUCCACUAAAACAUAUGUAUUGACUGAUCUGCUGAAUCUUGCUUUGGGGGGAAGGUGUUUUUUUUUGAGCCCAUCUGAAAAUGUUAAAUGUUUCAUUACUCUUAGAUUAUUAAAUGAAUAACUCCAGGGAAAAAAUGUAUCAUUGUUUCUUAUGAGUAUUAAGACAAAGAGGCAAAACUUUCCAUUUGACCACAAGAGGGCAGCUACAACAUUUCCUGCUAGGUCUUUGGGGUUCUGAACUACGAUCAACUGGGCAUUUGGGGACUCAGCUUGCCAUAGACUCCCUAAUAAUACCUUUCAACUGAAUUCCCAAUAUGUCACAAAACAUUCUCUCAUGGUGUUUCCUGGGACGGUUUUUGUUUUGUUUUUAAAGAAAUUAUUUUCCAACUUCUUUCCAGAUCUACAGAGUCCUCUGCUUUAGAACUCUGUGCCAAAGUUACCAUCUACAAAGAUCUUUGGAGACCAAUAAAUUGUUAGGCUAAUUAGAAAACCCACAGAAAAUGUUUUAUUUUAAUUAAGUUUGACCCCAGAUAAAAAUAAAAACAGUAAUGAUUAUCUGAUUCCACCACACUUAAUAAAGCUUGCUCUAAGUGCUUCACGGGAUUUGCCAAAUAUUUGCCUCAUCUCAGCCUUCAUUCGUCAUUCCCAUUUUCAUGAUAUCCUAAAAUCUUUCAAGUCAAAAUUUAUUGUGGAAUUUUAUCACUGAGCUAAACGGUGGGAGGUCUGCAAAUAAAAAAGCAGAGAUUAGUAAUAGCUACAUUCCAUAUUCUUAUAGUUGCACAAAAACAUAAAUUCAAACUUAGUUCAUCUGUUAGGUGCAUAAAGAGUGGGGAGUUAAUUUGAAAAGUAAGUGCUAGAUUUUAUAUGUAUAUAUGUGCAUGCAUCUGUGUGUAGGUGUGGCUGUGUGUAUAUACCCAUUAAUUUUUUUUGUUUUUUCACUAGUAAUUAUAUAUAAGUAGUUUGGAAAUUUACUAUUGAUGUUUGUAGAUUUUGAAGAUGUACAUAGCGAUGUAUUUCCUUCACAUUUACCGUGAAGCCUUUCCCUUAACCAUCUUAUUUAAAAUUGCAACCCCUGUCCCCCCAAUCCCCACAUAUCCUGUCCUCAUUCCCUGUUGUAUUUUUUCUCUUAUCAACAUUUGACAUACUUUAUAUUUUACUUGGUUUUUGUUAGUCUCCUUCACAAAUAACCCCUCCCCAACUAGAAUAAAAGCCCUAUGACGAAGACAGAAUUUUUUCUAUUUUGUUUAUUGCCAUGUCUUCAAAUCUUACAAUAGUGCCUGACACAUCAGAGGAGCUCAAUAAUGCAGCAACAUGGUAAAUUCACAAAAAUUGAAGCAUUUUUACUAGAAACUGAUAUUUUAAAAUCUCUAGCAUUGCUAAUUUACUUCAGUACAUUUAAGGAGACCUCCUAAAAAGAGAUAAUAGCCCACUAUCAGAACUGAAGCAUAUUUCCUAAAGCAAGUAUCUGAAACAAUACGUGGGCUCAUGAUUAUGGCUGAGUGUAUACUCUUGAAUGCUUAGACUCAGCAGGUCCUGUUUCCCAGAAGUCAAUCAGACCUGGACUGAAUUCUCAGCAAAAGUGGCCUCCAAAAGUUGUCACAGCAUCACACAAGCAAAGCAGUGGGAUAAAGGAAAGAGUAGUGACCUAUCAAUAAGGAGCCCAUGGUUCUAGUUCUGCCUCUGCCACUAGCUAACUAGGAGUUAAACCAUCCAUCUAAAUUGUUAGUGCUUUGAUGUCCUCUAAAAAAUAAUGGAUAUAACACCCUGUUUAUAUCAAAGAACUUUGGAAUCCAGUGAAAUGUGAAAGUAUUUUGGUAAGUAUGGACUAUUUUUCAAGUAGAAGAUGUUAUUAAAAUCAAUGUUGCCUGUACUGUGCUAUGUAAUGCCACCAUUUGGUGUGGCCAGUCAACAAUUUAAUGGUUUAAUGAACAAUUCUAGGCUGGAUCCAGUUCUAUCAGUCAAGUGAUGGUUUGUCAGGCCCUUCUUGGUACUCUAACCCCUAGGCCUUCUUCUUGCCGCUGUUGGGUUUAUUUGACCCCAGAAGCUCUGCCCCAUCCUGCCUCUAGGAUGAAUCCUAAGUGGAAACAAAAGACACUAAGGGAGCUCUAUCGCCGUAACGAGGAAUUCACAUCAUGUCACCGUACUUAGUUAGUCCAGCCCUGAUCAUAUGCCUCAAUGCUGGUAACUGGGCAUCUUCUUUCUUCUCCUUCUGAUAAUCAGAUCAAGAAUUCGCCUCCUCUUGAAAGCAUUUUCACAUUCUUGGCACAGGAGAAGAGAAAGUGAGACACAACCUUGUUCCUCCAGAAGUUCACAGAAGAACAAAGGAGACAGUGAUAGAAAUGAUACAUAUGCAAGGCAGCAUUUGGAAAAAUAGAGGACUAUCCGCAGUACGGUGAGAACAAGAAAGAAGAGGUGAGCCCUCUGCCUGGGCGGAUCAGGAAGGUUCCACAAAGAGACAUUCCACUGAGGCCUAAAGAAUGAGGAAGCAUGCACCAGGCAGAUGAGUGGAGAAGGGUGUUCCUGGUAUGUGGUUGUCAGGUUGCCAGACCAACACCCAAGUGUCAAUUUAACCCCAACUGUAGCUCCGCCAGUGCUGCAGGCUUAUGUCAGAAACAGAAAUGGGAUAGGUUUUUGUAGGCCAGCCUGGGAAUACUUGUUUCUGUUGGGAGAUUAGCUCUAAAACCCUCAAUAAAAGAGAGUUGGCCCUGGGCUUAUGCCAACACAUAUGUACCCACUGCCACUACCACCACUCAUCACCUUGGGCAAACAAGAAAAGCAGUUCAGUGUCAGGAGGAACAAUUCUUGCACUUUCACUUUCUUUCACUAACUGAUCUUGUGAAUGCAAGGUCAUGAGUAAGGCCUUUUGGGGACUGCACAUACAAGACAGGUCCACACUCCAAGGAGCUUAACAACAGGCUAUGCUAGGCCAGGUGCAGUGGCUCACACUUGUAAUCCCAGCACUUUGGGAGGCCGAGGCGGGUGGAUCACGAGGUCAGGAGUUUGAGAGCAGCUCGGCCAACAUAGUGAAACCCCAUCUCUACUAAAAAUCCAAAAAUUAGCCAGAUGUGGUGGCACACACCUGUAGGCCCAGCUACUCAGGAGGCUGAGGUGGGAGAACCACUUGAACCCAGGAGGCAGAGGUUGCAGAGAGCUGAGAUCAUGCCAUUGCACUCCAGCUUGGGUGUCAGAGUGAGACUCUUUUUAAAACAAACAAACAAACAAACAAAACAGGCAACAGGCUAUGCAGGCAAGACCCGUGCAUAUAAAAUAACUGAGAGUCCAAGGCAGUAGCUGCCAAAAUAAUGACACAUUCUAUAAGCACUACUGUCCUAGCCAUCACUGCUUUCUGGAGAGAAUAAUUCAAUUUAGUUGAAAAAGUGUUUUACAUUAAAUGCCCACUAAAAGUCUGUUGAUUAUGUAAGACUGCAUUCUGAAUUUCACAAGGCAGGAUCCACCAAGUUCCAUAAAUGUAAAUAAGUUUUCCUCCCAAAAGUAACAGGUUAAGUCAACUCUGGAAAGACUAUGGGGAGUUUAAUUAAUAGGAAUUCUGGUUUACUCAAUACAAGAAACACAUCAAACUGAAUAGGUAUGAAAAAGCAUUUCCCACCAGUUGAAGCUGUCUGAAUUAAAAUGAACCGCCUUGGGAGGUAAUAAGUUUCCCGUCAAGCUAGAUAAUUACUUGGCAGUGAUUUGGUAGGGGUGAUGCAAGCAUUCAAUGACCAGUAGGCUCCCUUCCAGUCCUGUGAUUGUGUGAAUUUCUGCAGCUCCCCCUUGAUAACACAAUAAAACCUGGGAACCCACACUGCAAGGUUUUCAAUGUUGAAGAUUAGCCAUGGGUUAGGCUUAUUCAGGGUACCAGAGCCUAUUCUGAAUGGUGGUGAGGAAACAGAGAAUGGGAAGGUCGAACUUCUACCAAGAACCUGACCAAACUCCCAGGGUGCUAGUCAGUAUCUGGGGAGAGCUUCAGAAUGCCAAAACUCAUUAGUGCUCAAAAAAGGUCAUAGUUAUUAGACAAGGGCACUCCAUUAUGAAGUCCUAACUAAAGAACUAAAAAAAAAAGCCCCUUGAAGACAAGAUGUGUAGGAUUCUAGAGUAUUUUGAAAGGCUCUUCCAAUGCUGACCCCUGAGGGUCCCUCAUGAAUGUUAGCACAUCCAGAUUCUUGGGAAACUCCAAGCAAAGCUGUUGUCAAAGAUGUGCCCAAGAAGAGUGCCUCCAAAAGUAAACAAGCAGGAGAUAGACAAGACAGUUAUACAGGUCUCCUGAGUAAAGUAUACAGGACUGAGAUGGUGAAUGCAGAAGAGGAGUAACAGCCUGAGGGGACCCGGACAACCAAGAAACUGGUUGUUUAAAAUCCUGGCAUCUUGUAAAUUUGUUUGAGUUCAUUGUUGAUUCUGGAUAUUAGCCCUUUGUCAGAUGAGUAGAUGGCAAAAAUU
rnacentral:lncRNA from 10 species